AGGCACGUAGCUCAGUUGGUUAGAGCACCACCUUGACAUGGUGGGGGUCGUUGGUUCGAAUCCAAUCGUGCCUA
rfam:Chromobacterium aquaticum strain CC-SEYA-1 NODE_84_length_22057_cov_29.701365, whole genome shotgun sequence.